GCCUUCGUGGUGUAGAAGUCAACACGCUCAGCGCGUAUUCGAGAGGUUCAUGGUUCGAAUCCCGGCGAAGGCG
rnacentral:tRNA from 1 species